ACGCACGCUGGCGGCGUGCUUAACACAUGCAAGUCGAACGGAAAGGCCCUGCUUUUGUGGGGUGCUCGAGUGGCGAACGGGUGAGUAACACGUGAGUAACCUGCCCUUGACUUUGGGAUAACUUCAGGAAACUGGGGCUAAUACCGGAUAGGAGCUCCUGCUGCAUGGUGGGGGUUGGAAAGUUUCGGCGGUUGGGGAUGGACUCGCGGCUUAUCAGCUUGUUGGUGGGGUAGUGGCUUACCAAGGCUUUGACGGGUAGCCGGCCUGAGAGGGUGACCGGCCACAUUGGGACUGAGAUACGGCCCAGACUCCUACGGGAGGCAGCAGUGGGGAAUAUUGCACAAUGGGCGGAAGCCUGAUGCAGCAACGCCGCGUGCGGGAUGACGGCCUUCGGGUUGUAGACCGCUUUCGCCUGUGACGAAGCGUGAGUGACGGUAAUGGGUAAAGAAGCACCGGCUAACUACGUG
rnacentral:rRNA from 1 species